rnacentral:lncRNA from 1 species
CUUUCCCGAGAAUCCUGAGCUGAGAUGAAUGCUGCCACCCCGACACCUGGCCUCUGAGAAGCCACUAUUUCCCUAUCUAAGCUGGCCAGUCGUGGACAAAUCCCUCAGUUCCGCAGAGAUGAGGUUGGAAUUAGAAGUCAAAUGCAAAUGCAUAGAAAUGGAGGAGUUAACAGCACAGGCAUCUUCAAGCGAAUCCACAAAAAUUUGUUCAGAGCUUAUAGUCUACCCAGCCCCAGUUCCUUUUCCUCAGUAAAGCCUUACUUUGCACAGAAGGUGAAUGUUAGGUCAAGGCACUCAGACUUCCUGCCCAAAAGUCUUUUGAGUUUGUCAGCAGCAAUUGCAUGAGGAAAAGACGAUGCCUGCACAGAAAAGAGAUAGGAAACAUUGCCUAGUACGGAAAUCUGCAGGCCCCUU